UGCCAGCAGCCGCGGUAAUACGGAGGGUGCAAGCGUUAAUCGGAAUUACUGGGCGUAAAGCGCACGCAGGUGGCUAGGUCAGUCGGAUGUGAAAGCCCCGGGCUUAACCUGGGAACUGCAACCCAAACUGUCAGGCUUGAGUCUCGGAGAGGAUGGGGGAAUUCCGGGUGUAGCGGUGAAAUGCGUAGAGAUCCGGAGGAACAUCAGUGGCGAAGGCGCCUGGCUGGCUGUUGAUUGACGCUGAGGCACGAAGGCUAGGGUAGCGAAAGGGAUUAGAUA
rnacentral:rRNA from 1 species